CAGCCGCGGUAAAACAUGCAAGUCGAGGGGUAAGGUAGCAAUAUCUGAGACCGGCGCACGGGUGCGUAACGCGUAUGCAAUCUACCUUUUACAGAGGGAUAGCCCAGAGAAAUUUGGAUUAAUACCUCAUAGCAUUGCGAAAUGGCAUCAUUUUGCAAUUAAAGUUCCAACGGUAAAAGCUGAGCAUGCGUCCUAUUAGCUAGAUGGUAAGGUAACGGCUUACCAUGGCUACGAUAGGUAGGGGUCCUGAGAGGGAGAUCCCCCACACUGGUACUGAGACACGGACCAGACUCCUACGGGAGGCAGCAGUGAGGAAUAUUGGACAAUGGGCGCAAGCCUGAUCCAGCCAUGCCGCGUGCAGGAAGACGCAUCUAUGGUGUGUAAACUGCUUUUGUACGGGAAGAAACACUCCUACGUGUAGGAGCUUGACGGUACCGUAAGAAUAAGGAUCGGCUAACUCCGUGCCAGCAGCCGCUGUAACAC
rnacentral:rRNA from 1 species